GGAGAGAGAAAGGCGUUAAGAUAAAUAAACAAAUAAAAAGAGGUUAAAGUAGGAGAGAGAAAGGGAGUAAAAUUGUAUUAAUAAUGUAAUGGUGGACCAUAUGAUAGGGACAUGAGAGGGUAAAAGGAGAAAAAAAUUCCAAAUAAGGAAUAAAGUAAAAGAGGGAAGAUCUUUUGGAAACGCACUUAAACGGAAAGAGGGAAGAUCUUUAGAAAACGGAGGGAGUACUACACAACUAGUUUAAAACACUUGCAAACACAACAAGAAUCCGCCUUUAUAGCGUCUGAAUUUAGCGUCCGAUGAUGUAAGCGGACGGUAAAUUUAAAAUUAGCGUCCGGUAAAGAACAGAUGCAAAUUAGCGUCUGCUUUUUGAGAUUUGGCGUCCGUUCUUUUAAACGGACGCUAAUUAGCGUCCGCGAAGUUAUAAUACCGUCCGAUGGACGGAUGCUAAAUAAGAGGUAUAAAAAAAAGUCCAGUCGACCAUACUAUCAACCAUAACCCACGCCUCUCUCUCUUCCUCACCCUCAUCUCACGUUUCUCUCUCUUCCUCACUCUCAUCUCACAUUUUCGUGCUCUCUCUUUCUUUCAGAUCUCACGAAAUCAGGUAUUUCUAUUCAGAUUUAACUAAUAAAUUUGUUAUUUUUUUAGUUUUGAUUGUUGAUUAUGUAGUUUAUUUUCUCGAUUUUCUUUAUUUUUUUUAAUUUCGUUUUGUGUUUUUUUAUUCUUGGGUUUUCGGUUUUUCCUAGAUCUGAAUUUCCUAAGAUUUUUUUUAAUUUUUUUUGUUUUUCGAUUUUUCUUUAUUUUUUUGAGUUUUCGGUUUUAUGAGAUUUUGAUUUUGUGUGUAUUUUCUCGAUUUUGAUUUUGGUUUUGUGUGUUUUUAUUUUCGGCUACUUGGUUUUAUUUUUUUUUGGCAUGAAUUUUCGUCUUUUUUGGAAAUCAGUUGUUUGUUUUUUUUUUCGUUCUUCGCUUUUUAGGAAUCAAUCUGUAAAAUUUAUUUUCAAAUCAAUUUAGGGGUGGGUUAUUUUUGGGAAAAUAUCAGAUAUAGAUAAAUUACAAAUUUACAGAAGAAUUCUGCUGAGUUUUAGUGGUUGAAGAUGAUAAAUAAUUUAUGGGUUUUCAAUGGAAUGAAGAUGAAAUUACCCAUCUUGUUGUUACUGUUGGUUCAUCUUCAGCUUCUUCUUCCUUGUUCUUCCCUUAAUUCUGAAGGGAUGGCUUUGUUGAGGUUUAAAGAAAGGGUGGUGAGAGAUCCCUUGAAUUCUCUUUCUAGUUGGAUUUCUGAAGAUGGUGAUUUAGAUCAUUGUUCUUGGUUUGGAAUCAAUUGUUCUGAUGGCAUUGUUGUUGUACUGUAUGUUUCUAACAUUAAUUCUCUCAAUUUUUAAUUUUUUUGUAUGAAUUCUGAAAAUGUUGCUGCAUUUAAUUUUGGAAAAAUAUUCAUGAUUUGGUUACUCAAAUUGGUUAAGUUUUAUCAUGUUUGUAGUUUGGUGGCUGGGUACAUGGUGGGCAGUAUGUGUGCAAUGCACUGCAAAGAGGUUUAGUAACAAGAAUCAUCAUGCCUUUUGUACACUGACAUGCAAUGUAAGGGAAUUAAAUUAUAAUCACUCACCUCUUCAAGCUAGGAACAUUAAAUUAAAAAGGUCAAAUGAUAUGCUUUUUCCAUUAGGACUGACUCGUAAGUAACUGAAAGAAAAUGGUUCUGGAUAUUAUAUGUUUGAUUUUGCUACAGGAAAGCUGAUUAUGCCCUCUUUCCCAUAGUGUUUUUACAUGCCACUUAUCAUUAUUAUAAGCAUAUACCUUGAAGUUUCUGCCUACUGUUCAGGAUGACGAAGAUCAGCAAGAUCCAGAUGAAAGAUGGGAUCCAGAUUCUGAUAUGGAGAUUGAAGAUCGUCCUUUAUCUGUUCGAAACAGAGUGAAGAGAGAGGCUGUGGAGCCUGAUGCUAAAGAUUCGGUAUGUUUCUUGCUAUCUAGUUUUUUUUAAUGAGUCUGUGCUAUGGUUACUGUAUUUCAUGAUAUUCCUCCAUACCUUCUUUUGAUAAGCAAGAAUAUUUGGUUGAGAGGCAUGUACAUAAUUAUAGGGAAUUCAGUGUCUGGAAAAUAUUUUCGGAUUUAUUUAAAUGUCUGCUGAAUAUUAGCUGAAGUUCAUUACAGUUUUUCUUGUCAUUUUGAUGCACAACUUCUAUUUGGAUACCGAAUCUUUGAAAAGGACCUGUGGACAGUGUCUCUAGUAGGAUACUUGGAAUCAUUGAUGGUAUUUGCCGUCGAAGAUUUAUGGAGCAUUGCAAGGAAAAAAUGAAAUUUAAGAAUACUAGUGAAGUUAUUACUCUGCUAUUUCAAACUAGUAUUGUGUACCUCUUAAGAUAUUUGCUGACAUGUAUUUCUAGUUUUUAAUUACAAAGUAACUAUCAUGCAAAGCAGUACUCACUACUAAUGUACACCUUCUGGAAAAAACUAGCACACUCAAACAAGGCUAAGAAGAAGAUCAACCUUCAUUGCUAAGCAACCAAAAUUGCUUUAACCUGUACUUAAGCUCACAAGGCAACAAAACAAAUAAGAUCCAGUAGGAAUGAAGU